UGGGGAAUAUUGCACAAUGGAGGAAACUCUGAUGCAGCGACGCCGCGUGAGUGAAGAAGUAGUUCGCUAUGUAAAGCUCUAUCAGCAGGGAAGAUAGUGACGGUACCUGACUAAGAAGCUCCGGCUAAAUACGUGCCAGCAGCCGCGGUAAUACGUAUGGAGCAAGCGUUAUCCGGAUUUACUGGGUGUAAAGGGAGUGUAGGUGGCCAGGCAAGUCAGAAGUGAAAGCCCGGGGCUCAACCCCGGGACUGCUUUUGAAACUGCAGGGCUAGAGUGCAGGAGGGGCAAGUGGAAUUCCUAGUGUAGCGGUGAAAUGCGUAGAUAUUAGGAGGAACACCAGUGGCGAAGGCGGCUUGCUGGACUGUAACUGACACUGAGGCUCGAAAGCGUGGGGAGCAAACA
rnacentral:rRNA from 2 species